GUCUGCGGCCAUGCCACUCUGAACAAGCCGGAUCCCGUCUGAUCUCAGAAGCUAAGCAGGAUCGGGCCUGAUUAGUUCUUGGAUGGGAAACCAUCUAGGAAAGACCAGGGCCGUAGGCG
rnacentral:rRNA from 1 species